UAGGGAAUCUUCCACAAUGGACGCAAGUCUGAUGGAGCAACGCCGCGUGAGUGAAGAAGGUUUUCGGACCGUAAAGCUCUGUUGUUGGUGAAGAAGGAUAGAGGUAGUAACUGGCCUUUAUUUGACGGUAAUCAACCAGAAAGUCACGGCUAACUACGUGCCAGCAGCCGCGGUAAUACGUAGGUGGCAAGCGUUGUCCGGAUUUAUUGGGCGUAAAGCGAGCGCAGGCGGAAGAAUAAGUCUGAUGUGAAAGCCCUCGGCUUAAACCGA
rnacentral:rRNA from 1 species